rnacentral:rRNA from 1 species
GACGAACGCUGGCGGCGUGCUUAACACAUGCAAGUCGAGCGGUAAGGCCCUUUCGGGGUACACGAGCGGCGAACGGGUGAGUAACACGUGGGUGACCUGCCCUCAGCUCUGGGAUAAGCCUGGGAAACUGGGUCUAAUACUGGAUAUGACUCCACGGUGCAUGUCGUGGGGUGGAAAGCCUUGUGCGGCUGAGGAUGGGCCCGCGGCCUAUCAGCUUGUUGGUGGGGUGAUGGCCUACCAAGGCGACGACGGGUAGCCGGCCUGAGAGGGCGACCGGCCACACUGGGACUGAGACACGGCCCAGACUCCUACGGGAGGCAGCAGUGGGGAAUCUUGCGCAAUGGGCGAAAGCCUGACGCAGCGACGCCGCGUGAGGGAUGACGG